rnacentral:rRNA from 1 species
UACGUAGGGGGCAAGCGUUGUCCGGAAUCAUUGGGCGUAAAGAGCGUGUAGGCGGCCCGGUAAGUCCGCUGUGAAAGUCCAGGCUCAACCCUGGGAUGCCGGUGGAUACUGUCGGGCUCGAGUCCGGAAGAGGAGUGUGGAAUUCCUGGUGUAGCGGUGAAAUGCGCAGAUAUCAGGAGGAACAUCGAUGGCGAAGGCAGCCCCUUGGACCUGUACUGACGCUCAUGCACGAAAGCGUGGGGAGCAAAC